rnacentral:rRNA from 1 species
AAGGAAUAUUGGUCAAUGGACGCAAGUCUGAACCAGCCAUGCCGCGUGGAGGAUUAAGGCCCUCUGGGUUGUAAACUCCUUUUAUCUGGGAAGAAAUGUACUUUUUCUUGAGUACUUGACGGUACCAGAGGAAUAAGCACCGGCUAACUCCGUGCCGGCAGCCGCGGUAAUACGGAGGGUGCAAGCGUUAUCCGGAUUCACUGGGUUUAAAGGGUGCGUAGGUGGGUAUGUAAGUCAGUGGUGAAAUCCCCGAGCUUAACUUGGGAACUGCCAUUGAUACUAUAUAUCUUGAAUACCGUAGAGGUUAGCGGAAUAUGUCAUGUAGCGGUGAAAUGCUUAGAUAUGACAUGGAACACCAAUUGCGAAGGCAGCUUACUAUGCGGUGAUUGACACUGAGGCACGAAAGCGUGGGUAGCAAACA